rnacentral:piRNA from 1 species
UGGGCGACGCCAUGCAGUGUCCUCCAC